rnacentral:rRNA from 1 species
CACGGAGUUAGCCGGAGCUUAUUCUCCCGAUACUGUCAUUAUCAUCUCGGGUAGAAGAGCUUUACAACCCUAAGGCCUUCAUCACUCACGCGGCAUUGCUGGAUCAGGCUUUCGCCCAUUGUCCAAUAUUCCCCACUGCUGCCUCCCGUAGGAGUCUGGGCCGUGUCUCAGUCCCAGUGUGGCUGAUCAUCCUCUCAGACCAGCUAUGGAUCGUCGCCUUGGUAGGCCUUUACCCCACCAACUAGCUAAUCCAACGCGGGCCCAUCUAAAGGCGAUAAAUCUUUGGUCCGAAGACAUUAUCCGGUAUUAGCUCAAAUUUCUCUGAGUUAUUCCGAACCUAAAGGCAGGUUCCCACGCGUUACGCACCCGUGCGCCACUAGACCCGAAGGUCUCGUUCGACUUGCAUGUGUUAGGCAUGCCGCCAGCGUUCGUUCUGAGCCAGGAUCAAACUCU